GACAGAGGGGGCGAGCGUUUUCCGGAGUCACUGGGCGUAAAGCGCACGCAGGCGGAUCGAUAAGUCGGGGGUGAAAGCCCGGGGCUCAACCUCGGAAUUGCCUUCGAUACUGUCGGUCUCGAGUCCGGGAGAGGUGAGUGGAAUUCCUAGUGUAGAGGUGAAAUUCGUAGAUAUUAGGAAGAACACCAGUGGCGAAGGCGGCUCACUGGCCCGGUACUGACGCUCAGGUGCGAAAGCGUGGGGAGCAAACAGG
rnacentral:rRNA from 1 species